AGUAGAAUAAUGUUCUAAUUUGUUCAAAUGUAUGAUUUUAGAUUAGAUGAGGCAGUGGGCUAAUUUUCAACCCACAUAAUUGCUUACAUCACCAAUGAUAGAAGUUCUAAGAACUGUACUUUUCAAUUGGAUUGUUACUCCUGCUACUGAUGGAACCUCUGUCGCAGAUUAAUAUGAACAACAUUCAAAAUUUAUGCCUCUGUUACAAUACAUUGGUAAAAUAUUAUUAUGUGAUUCAAUACCUGAUAUAGGUUCAAUCAUUUCGUGGGGCGUGGUUCUUUCGAUUGCAUCACUCAGCGCGUAGCAUGAAUGUUUGCAUUUUCUCCAGUUCUAGUAAGAUACAAAAAGUGGUACUUUAUAUACGGACGGCCAAGUCGUAAAUCAUAUACAUUAUUACAUUAUUACAUUAUACAUUAUUACGUAUUUGCCUACGGAGCAGCACAAGGCGGUAUGAAAUGAGCGGGCGGCACGGCAUUUAUUAUCUUACGGUUUGUAGUAGUGUGCAAGCAAAUUUUGAUGAUUUAAAAUGCAAAAGUUGAAAUACAAAAACCGCAACGUGGAACUAGAGUGGAAGUAGAAAAAAAUAACGUAAGCACCACGUGGCUACACGGUGUCCAGGACUAGAUUGGUUGACCGCUCGCUCUCAAUCUCGUCCGUAAUACCCUCGUUUAGCCACUUGUUACUUAAUAUAUUUAAGCAAACAAUAAAAUUUUAUUUUAUAGCAAAUUCAGGUGAUAGCAAAUGAAGUAAUGUGUGGUCCAGUGAUGGAUUACACCAAAGCAAUAUAGCCUCUUAAAAUAUUUUAUAAUAAAUUAAUAAGUAAUUUCAUUUAGCCUUUCCGAUUAUUAUGA